GUAGGUGGCAAGCGUUGUCCGGAAUUAUUGGGCGUAAAGCGCGCGCAGGCGGUUCUUUAAGUCUGAUGUGAAAGCCCACGGCUCAACCGUGGAGGGUCAUUGGAAACUGGAGAACUUGAGUACAGAAGAGGAAAGCGGAAUUCCACGUGUAGCGGUGAAAUGCGUAGAGAUGUGGAGGAACACCAGUGGCGAAGGCGGCUUUCUGGUCUGUAGCUGACGCUGAGGCGCGAAAGCGUGGGGGAGCAAACAGGAUUAGAUACCCUGGUAGUCCACGCCGUAAACGAUGAGUGCUAAGUGUUAGGGGGUUUCCGCCCCUUAGUGCUGCAGCUAACGCAUUAAGCACUCCGCCCUGGGAGUACGGCCGCAAGGCUG
rnacentral:rRNA from 1 species